rnacentral:rRNA from 1 species
UACGUAGGGGGCAAGCGUUGUCCGGAAUCAUUGGGCGUAAAGGGAGCGUAGGCGGAUAGUUUAGUCAGAGGUGAAAGCCCAGGGCUCAACCUUGGAAUUGCCUUUGAUACUGGCUAUCUUGAGUACGGAAGAGGUAUGUGGAACUCCGAGUGUAGAGGUGAAAUUCGUAGAUAUUCGGAAGAACACCAGUGGCGAAGGCGACAUACUGGUCCGUUACUGACGCUGAGGCUCGAAAGCGUGGGGAGCAAACAGG